rnacentral:rRNA from 1 species
ACCUACGGGAGGCAGCAGUAGGGAAUUUUCGGCAAUGGGGGGAACCCUGACCGAGCAACGCCGCGUGGGUGAAGAAGGUCUUCGGAUCGUAAAACCCUGUUGUUAGAGAAGAAAGUGCGUGAGAGUAACUGUUCACGUUUCGACGGUAUCUAACCAGAAAGCCACGGCUAACUACGUGCCAGCAGCCGCGGUAAUACGUAGGUGGCAAGCGUUAUCCGGAUUUAUUGGGCGUAAAGGGAACGCAGGCGGUCUUUUACGUCUAGUGUGAAAGCCUGCGGCUUAACCGGUGAAGUGCAUUG